rnacentral:rRNA from 1 species
CCCUACGGGGGGCAGCAGUGGGGAAUCUUUCCCCCUUGUGUCCACCCUGAUGCAGCGACGCCGCGUGGGUGAAGAAGUAUUUCGGUAUGUAAAGCCCUAUCAGCAGGGAAGAAGAAUGACGGUACCGGACUAAGAAGCACCGGCUAAAUACGUGCCAGCAGCCGCGGUAAUACGUAUGGUGCAAGCGUUAUCCGGAUUUACUGGGUGUAAAGGGAGCGCAGGCGGCACGCUAAGCCUGAUGUGAAAACCCGCGGCCCAACCGCGGGAGUGCAUUGGGAACUGGCGAGCUAGAGUACCGGAGGGGC